UAUUAAUAUAAUUAUUACGAGGUAGAUCGGCUGUAUAUGUUGGGUUUUAUAGUGAGAACUCCAUGUUAAUUUGAGGCCAUAAUUGCUGGUCUUGUCUAUUUAUUGAAUUAAGUUUGAAUUCUCUCUUUGGUAAAUAACUCUAAUAGUGUGUUACACAUUUCUGUGACAGGUAUCAUUUCAGUUAGUGGCUGGGGUGGAGUUUUUUUAACAUUCGUCGCCAUUACAGCAGGAAAAACUAUUUUUGUGAGUUUCCUG